AGCAGUCGCCGCGGGAAUACGUAGGUGGCAAGCGUUGUCCGGAAUUAUUGGGCGUAAAGGGCUCGCAGGCGGUUUCUUAAGUCUGAUGUGAAAGCCCCCGGCUCAACCGGGGAGGGUCAUUGGAAACUGGGAAACUUGAGUGCAGAGGAGGAGAGUGGAAUUCCACGUGUAGCGGUGAAAUGCGUAGAGAUGUGGAGGAACACCAGUGGCGAAGGCGACUCUCUGGUCUGUAACUGACGCUGAGGAGCGAAAGCGUGGGGAGCGAACAGGAUUAGAUACCCCGGUAGUCCCUGUCUCUUAUAC
rnacentral:rRNA from 1 species